ACUCUCUCUUCACAAUGUGGUGUUCACGUAUCGUCGGAAGAACGAGCUCUGAACUGUGAGGGUGUGUCGAGCUAGAGAGCAUGGUAGCUGAUGGCAGAAACUCUUUGAUUAGCGCCCUUGGAGAAGCGGAAUGAGUUUUCACGGUGUUCAUGGUGCAUGGUGCUCGUUGAGAGGAAGAAAUAAAUUGACACCCGUUUGAAACUCUCUGCGUCUUGAUCAAUAUAUCCGAGGGGCCGCUACAGUGAAAACUCAUCGCUGCACCAGCCCUGCCAUCCCUGGUGAGAAGCUGAUGCCAUCACAUCUGAAGUCCAACCACCAACCUAAUACCGGCCAGUUUACUUCGCUUGCAUCCAACUCCUGCACACAGUUUUCACGGUGUUCAUGGUGCAUGGUGCUCGUUGAGAGGAAGAAAUAAAUUGACACCCGUUUGAAACUCUCUGCGUCUUGAUCAAUAUAUCCGAGG
ensembl:lncRNA